UGCGCCUCUCUAGUGGAAGAUAAAACCGGUGUGUAGCCUUGCACUGAGGCACAGUCGCACAUACCUGAUGUCCCCCAGCAAUAAGCCCAGCUGAAAGCCAGCGCCUGUACUGCUGUUGUCUCUCCCUCGUGUCUCGCCCUACCCACGCUUAGAUCUAGUCGAGGAAGACGCACGACACGUUCUCAAUAUUUCACGCUGUACGAGCACGGCUGCACCCUAGAAUUUUUACCGCUGACAUUCCUGAGUGAUUGUACUUUGCUUGUGGUCAAAUACAGCAAGGCUCGCGUUCCAGGGGGACGACAAGGAUGCGAUUGCCACGCCGUUUAUCGGAGGAUUAGCGAAACACCGAAGAGGGACAUGACUGUGGACUGUAGAAAGUCAACGUUUUGUGAGGCAAGAAAGCCAGACAAGGAUAUGCAGCACAGCAUUGGCACGUCAUCUCUACACUCUUAAUAAAAAGGGUGCACUU